AUGAGCAGUUUCCCAACCACCUCCAUUGUAAACUCCUGGGAUUCUUCCUUCAGUAAUUGUUGUGAAAUCCGCAAGAAUUGUGAGAAUACAUAAAACCAAACCCAGCAUUUUCAUUUUUGAUAGGGGGAGAAAGAUUAAGCAAAUAUAGAGAGAGACUCUGUCAGAUGGAGGCAAGAGGAAGAAGAAGAGACUCUUUGGAGUGUUCUCAUGUGUGUGGGAAGAGAAUGGAGGCUUACAGCAGGAGUUUUAACAUGAUUUGGAUUCAUGAUAAAGUAAGAAAAAAAGAUAAUACGAUUUAAAGAAGAUUUUGUAUGGUCUCAUGUACAAAAGUCAUGUCUACAAUACAAAUCCAUUACUACAAUAUGUUUGGUCCUUGCUCUUCCUUCUGUGUGUGCAUCAGAAAAUAUGUCGAUUGCAAAUGUCAAACGCGGGUAACAGCGCGUUCUUUAUAACCACCCAAUCAUAAUUGGUUACGUACAGAUAAAGGCGAUGUUGCUCCACUCAGGUUUGAUAAGAUAUGCUCACCCUCUGCUCAAGCGCGUUUGGACGACCACUCUCUUGUUGCUAUCAAUAGUUUCGCCCUACAAAGUUGCUAAAUCUUCACUCGCUCUGGACCUAUGAUAAAUAUUGAUAUGUGUGUCACUGUAUGUAAUGUGGAUCUUUGGUAACUAGUGAUAUGCGUAUGGAAUGUACUGAGUUUAACAAAUUCUUGUAUUAGCUUAGUUAGUUUUUCUUUAAACAAUUAGAGUUUAUAGUCAUUUCUAAACACUGGGCUAAAAGAAAUUAUAUGUUUUGUUUUGCAUUACCUAAUAAUUUGAAACAUUUUCUAGUUAUAAUGAUGAUGAUGAUGGUUGUAUUACGUAA